CUGUGCAAAGGUAGCAUAAUCAUUAGCUUUUUAAUUGAAGGCUUGUAUGAAGGGUCUGACAAAGAAAAAACUGUCUUUAAUUUUAUUUUUGAAAUUAACUUUUAAGUGAAAAGGCUUAAAUAAAUUUAAGGGACGAUAAGACCCUAUAAAUCUUUAUAUUAAAUUAUUAUCUCAAAUUUUAAUAAUAUGUCUAGAGUUGUUGAGUAAAAUUAAUAAAUAUUUUGUUGGGGUGACGAGAAUAUAUAAAAAACUGUUCUUAUAAAAAACAAAGUUGUUUGUUUAAUAAAAUUAUAGAUCCUUUUUAGAGAUUAAGAGAUUAAGUUACUUUAGGGAUAACAGCGUUAUUUUUUUUGAGAGUUCUUAUCGAAAAAAAAGUUUGCGACCUCGAUGUUGAAUUAAAAUUUCUCUAUGGUGUAGCAGUUAUGGGAGAAAGUCUGUUCGACUUUUGAAAUUUU
rnacentral:rRNA from 1 species